CACACGUGACCUCAUCUGAUUUUACGAUCACUUAAUCAAUCAAACCAAGUAGACAAAAAAAAAAUUAAUCAAGUCACGUGCAAGUGCAAUAUCAUCUUCUUCACCUCUUUCAUCUGGACAAUGUUUUGUUCAGAUUUGUAUUUGGGUGGUUUCAAUAGCUCAAAAUAUAUAAUGUAUAAGCUAGGUUAGUACAAGCUACGUAGGUUGUUUAGAUAGAUUAGAUAAAGAUCUUUUUAGUAGCUAGCAACUUAUUUUAUUGAUCUAAACAGGGUCUAAGACAUUGUCUGAGAACAUGCUGGUUCGUAAAAGAAGACAUGUUAUCAGCGACCUAGAGUUCUAACAAAGGGUAUGCUGCACAAUUUUUUUUUAUGCAAUUCGGUAAAAUCAUAUUUGUAUUCGGUAACACCGCUUCCAUUAGAUAACACGAUAAGCCUUAAAUUCAAAGGUUAGCUAAAAACUAUGACAAACUACGAGUUCAAAUGAAAUACAAAUAGUUCAAAGUAUAGCCAUAAAAGAUACUUACAACAAGAUAGGAUGAAAAAAAUUGCAAAAUAAAAGCUGAAAUAGGUUAUUUGUAGUUAUAAUUUCUAGAGGGGAUAAAAAGUUGAAAAAUUAAAAAUAAAGACACAUGAGGUCUCAUGGGAUACAACAAGAGACGAUAAAAAAUACAAAAAACUAAAGGAUGAAGUAUAUUAUCUAUACUUAAUUUUAAAGAGGAUAAAAGAAAAUAGAAAUUUAACUCAUGGGAUACAACAAGAGAGGAUAAGAAUGAAGUAUAUUAUCUAUACUUAAUUUUAAAGGGGAUAAAAUAAAAUGGAAAUUUAAAUUGACAUUGUACAGAACUAUUGAUAAUUAAGUGAUAAUGAAAUGAUGGUGAUUUAUUAACAUGAUGAGUCUUCCAUUCAAAGAUUAAACUGUAAAGUUGCAUAAAUAAACCAAUAUUAAUAAUCCAAAUAUCAUACUAACAAUUCGAAAAACACGGUUAGCUGGUAGAAAAGAAAUUCAAGAAUACAGUAAACCAAGAUGUGAUGCCCGCCGGCGACGUACUACGACGAUGACGGUGUGCAUGACCAUGAGGCACAGCCGACGAAGGAGCCGGAGCUCCUCGAUGGCAAGGACACUCUCGCCCACGCCGUGGUGGGGCUAGCCUGGCAGUGGCAGCCCAGCUGCACGCAGAGUCCACUCUGAUCCGACUCCCCC
rnacentral:lncRNA from 1 species